AAGCCAGUCCCGAACUGUCACCGGAUGGUGUGCGUGUCUAGGACAACUAGAAUAGGGGCUGGUUUCGGC
rnacentral:ncRNA from 1 species